rnacentral:rRNA from 1 species
UUGACCUCGGAUCAGGUAGGGAUACCCGCUGAACUUAAGCAUAUCAAUAAGCGGAGGAAAAGAAACCAACAGGGAUUGCCUCAGUAACGGCGAGUGAAGCGGCAAGAGCUCAAAUUUGAAAGCUGGCCCCCUCGGGGUCCGCAUUGUAAUUUGCAGAGGAUGCUUCGGGAGUGGCCCCCAUCUAAGUGCUCUGGAACGGGCCGUCAUAGAGGGUGAGAAUCCCGUAUGGGAUGGGGUGUCCGCGACCAUGUGAAGCUCCUUCGACGAGUCGAGUUGUUUGGGAAUGCAGCUCUAAAUGGGUGGUAAAUUUCAUCUAAAGCUAAAUAUUGGCCGGAGACCGAUAGCGCACAAGUAGAGUGAUCGAAAGAUGAAAAGCACUUUGAAAAGAGAGUUAAAAAGCACGUGAAAUUGUUGAAAGGGAAGCGCUUGCGACCAGACUCGCCUACGGGGUUCAGCCGGUAUUCGUACCGGUGUACUUCCCCGUGGGCGGGCCAGCGUCGGUUUGGGCGGCCGGUCAAAGGCCCUCGGAAUGUAACGCCUCUCGGGGCGUCUUAUAGCCGAGGGUGCCAUGCGGCCAGCCCGGACCGAGGAACGCGCUUCGGCACGGACGCUGGCAUAAUGGUCGUAAGCGACC